UAACUGAUUGAUCCUGCCAGUAGUCAUAUGCUUGUCUCAAAGAUUAAGCCAUGCGUGUCUUAACAAGGAUCACUUGGAGGGCAAGUCUGGUGCCAGCAGCCACGGUAAUUCCAGCUCCAAUAGCGUAUAUUAAAGUUGUUGCGGUUAAAAAGCUCGUAAUUGGAUCUCAGUUCCAGAUGGGUGGUCCGCCUACCGGUGGUUACUGCCUGUUCUGAAAAAUAGGUUGCUUUAAAUUAAGACGUUCACCAAGUUAUUCUUGGAGCAAUUGAAAAAAUCCGCCAAAAUAAAUUUUUA
rnacentral:ncRNA from 1 species